GAAAACUUCAUAAUUAAAGCCGCUAACUUUUUUAAAACACUUUUGUUAGUUUUCU
rnacentral:tRNA from 1 species